rnacentral:rRNA from 1 species
GACGAACGCUGGCGGCGUGCCUAAUACAUGCAAGUAGAACGCUGAAGGAGGAGCUUGCUUCUCUGGAUGAGUUGCGAACGGGUGAGUAACGCGUAGGUAACCUGCCUGGUAGCGGGGGAUAACUAUUGGAAACGAUAGCUAAUACCGCAUAAGAGUAGAUGUUGCAUGACAUUUGCUUAAAAGGUGCAAUUGCAUCACUACCAGAUGGACCUGCGUUGUAUUAGCUAGUUGGUGGGGUAACGGCUCACCAAGGCGACGAUACAUAGCCGACCUGAGAGGGUGAUCGGCCACACUGGGACUGAGACACGGCCCAGACACCUACGGGAGGCAGCAGUAGGGAAUCUUCGGCAAUGGACGGAAGUCUGACCGAGCAACGCCGCGUGAGUGAAGAAGGUUUUCGGAUCGUAAAGCUCUGUUGUAAGAGAAGAACGAGUGUGAGAGUGGAAAGUUCACACUGUGACGGUAUCUUACCAGAAAGGGACGGCUAACUACGUG